rnacentral:rRNA from 1 species
GACGAACGCUGGCGGCGUGCCUAACACAUGCAAGUCGAACGGAAAGGCCCUGCUUUCGCGUGGUGCUCGAGUGGCGAACGGGUGAGAAACACGUGAGUAAGCUGCCCUUGACUGUGUGAUAACUUCAGGAAACUGCGGCUAAUACAGGCUAGGAGCUCCUGCUGCAUGGUGGUGGUUGGAAAGUUUCGGCGGUGGGGGAUGGACUCGCGGCUUAUCAGCUUGUUGGUGGGGUAGUGGCUUACCAAGGCAUCGGCGGGUAGCCGGCCUGAGAGGGUGACCGGCCACAUUGGGACUGAGGUGCGGCCCAGACUGCAACGGUAGGCAGCGGUGGGGAAUAUUGCACAGUGGGCGGAAGCCUGAUGCAGCGACGCCGCGUGCGGGAUGACGGCCUUCGGGUUGUAAACCGCUUUCGCCUGUGACGAAGCGUGAGUGACGGUAAUGGGUAAAGAAGCACCGGCUAACUACGUG